AUUGAAGCACCAGUUCCCAUGCAAACACCAAAGUUAAGCAACAUCAAGCUUGGUUAGUACCUAGAUGGGUAACCAUUUGGGAAUACCAGGUUUUGUAAG